rnacentral:rRNA from 1 species
GAUGAACGCUAGCUACAGGCUUAACACAUGCAAGUCGAGGGCAGCAUGAACUUAGCUUGCUAAGUUUGAUGGCGACCGGCGCACGGGUGAGUAACACGUAUCCAACCUGCCGAUGACUCGGGGAUAGCCUUUCGAAAGAAAGAUUAAUACCCGAUGGCAUAGUUCUUCCGCAUGGUAGAACUAUUAAAGAAUUUCGGUCAUCGAUGGGGAUGCGUUCCAUUAGGUUGUUGGCGGGGUAACGGCCCACCAAGCCUUCGAUGGAUAGGGGUUCUGAGAGGAAGGUCCCCCCACAUUGGAACUGAGACACGGUCCAAACUCCUACGGGAGGCAGCAGUGAGGAAUAUUGGUCAAUGGACGAGAGUCUGAACCAGCCAAGUAGCGUGAAGGAUGACUGCCCUAUGGGUUGUAAACUUCUUUUAUACGGGAAUAAAGUGGGCUAUGUAUAGCUUUUUGUAUGUACCGUAUGAAUAAGGAUCGGCUAACUCCGUG